UACGGAGGAUGCGAGCGUUAUCCGGAUUUAUUGGGUUUAAAGGGUGCGUAGGCGGGCAUUUAAGCCGGCGGUCAAAUGUCGGGGCUCAACCCCGGCCUGCCGUCGGAACUGGGUGCCUUGAGUUGGCGAGAAGUACGCGGAAUGCGCGGUGUAGCGGUGAAAUGCAUAGAUAUCGCGCAGAACUCCGAUUGCGAAGGCAGCGUACCGGCGCCAGACUGACGCUGAGGCACGAAAGCGUGGGGAUCGAACAGG
rnacentral:rRNA from 1 species